rnacentral:rRNA from 1 species
CAGAUGCGAAAGCGUGGGGAGCAAACAGGAUUAGAUACCCUGGUAGUCCACGCCGUAAACGAUGUCUACUUGGAGGUUGUGGCCUUGAGCCGUGGCUUUCGGAGCUAACGCGUUAAGUAGACCGCCUGGGGAGUACGGUCGCAAGAUUAAAACUCAAAUGAAUUGACGGGGGCCCGCACAAGCGGUGGAGCAUGUGGUUUAAUUCGAUGCAACGCGAAGAACCUUACCUACUCUUGACAUCCAGAGAACUUUCCAGAGAUGGAUUGGUGCCUUCGGGAACUCUGAGACAGGUGCUGCAUGGCUGUCGUCAGCUCGUGUUGUGAAAUGUUGGGUUAAGUCCCGCAACGAGCGCAACCCUUAUCCUUGUUUGCCAGCGAGUAAUGUCGGGAACUCCAGGGAGACUGCCGGUGAUAAACCGGAGGAAGGUGGGGACGACGUCNAGUCAUCAUGGCCCUUACGAAUAGGGCUACACACGUGCUACAAUGGCGCCAUACAG